rnacentral:lncRNA from 13 species
CUCCCCCCUCUCCUUUGUGUAACCUCCCCCUCCUUCUCCCCUCUUCCUCCCUCUGCCCCCCUCCUUCUCCCUCCCCCCAUCCGCUCUUUCUGGUGUUGCUCCCUUUCUCCUCAGUUUGCCCAAACACUUUCAGUUUUCAUUUUCAGGAAGUGUUUGGCCCGCACCCCCUCGGGCUCUCCAUCCCUGAGGGGAAGCACGUGGCUGUUGUGGCUGUUCGCUUUCUGUGGAUUUCAACCAUCCCUGGCGCCGGGCAGUGGCCUUUGGGGUGCCUGCUGGCCGUCAGCCCUGUGCCCCGAGGGCCUCUGCCGGACCCCCGGUCCUGGAGCGACCCCGGGAUACUUUUCUGUCUUGGGAUAGGAUGUUCAAGCGCACAGGUCAUGGGUAGUGCGCGUUCCCGGUGACGUCACACACAGAAACGAGACUCCAUCCCGUGCGUCAGAGGAGAGAGGAAAAGGAACGUCCCUCCUCCGGCCUCAGCGCCCCGAGCAGCCGUUCUGAACCGGGAGGAUCCGGCGCCAUCGGCCGUGCCCGCGCGGCCCCUCGUCUGGUGACCGGCCCGGGCUGCAGGACGGCCCCGCGCAGCAAAACGUUGUCCAGCCCGCGUGGUCUCCGUGCCUCCACCGAAGACCCCUGGCCCAGGGUGACUGCGACGGCCUGCGUGUUCCCUCUUGAUGGCAUCACUUAGGAGCCUGGGAAGAAGAGGGAGGAGCCACUGCGGAGUGGAUCCUGCAGACAUUUCUAAUGCUGAGCUCACCAGCCAGGAAGUCAUGUCAGCUGUGGAAAUGUUCAGCUUAGGGGCUCACCAUAUCUGAACCACAUCCAAAACUCUAAGAACCUGGAUUAAGUAAAAUAUGCUAGGGAUUCAGGCUGUCCCUUAGCUCGAUAAGGAAACGCCACUUCAAAGCCAAGCCUUCAUUGUCUACUUUUUUUCCUUUUUUCCCCUUGUGAGUUCACUCCGCUGACAUCUUUUGCUGCUUUUCUGUGUCAGCUUUCAUGUUGGAUUGGAAAAGUGAGGCUCAUGCAUUUUAUAUGUCAGUUACCAGAAGCACAUCUGAUUCAAAACUGCACAGUGUUGCUAUUGAUUGUAUAGCCGUGGAUCAUUUAAAGGUGAAACAUCAAGAAAGGCCAAGUAACCAUUCCAGAUCAAAGAGGGCUAAAGAGACAUGGCUGGACUCACAUGCAUGUGUGAUCCUGGCUUGGAUCCUGGGCUUGGGGGAAAAACCUCUAACGGAUAGUAUUGGGAUGAAAAUUCAAAUAUGGAUCACAGAACUUACAGAAUUAAUAGGAGAGCCUGUAGAAUUGAAAACUGUGCAGCUGAGAGUGUUCCAAAUCCCACUGCAAGAUGAGUGUACAAAGAAACCAACAACCUCCCCAACUGGUACAGAAAUUACUUCAAAGUGA